GUGUCAGCCGCCGCGGUAAUACGUAGGGGGCGAGCGUUGUCCGGAAUUACUGGGCGUAAAGCGCGCGCAGGCGGUCGGCCAAGUCCGGCGUGAAAGCCCCCGGCUCAACUGGGGAGGGUCGUUGGAAACUGGUCGACUGGAGGACAGGAGAGGAGCAUGGAAUUCCCGGUGUAGUGGUGAAAUGCGUAGAGAUCGGGAGGAACACCAGUGGCGAAAGCGGUGCUCUGGCCUGCCCCUGACGCUGAGGCGCGAAAGCGUGGGGAGCGAACGGGAUUAGAAACCCCCGUAGUCC
rnacentral:rRNA from 1 species